rnacentral:rRNA from 1 species
CUAUACAUGACUCUGCGCAUAUCAAUAAGCGGAGGAAAAGAGGGCUAUUACCUACGCUUAGGAUGUUGAUGAGACUGUCGAUCUCAUCUAUACAUGACUCUGCGCAUAUCAAUAAGCGGAGGAAAAGAAGCUAACAAGGAUUCCCUUAGUAACGGCGAGUGAAGCGGGAAGAGCUCAAAUUUGAAAUCCUCAAGGUUUUACCUUGACGAAUUGUAGUUUAAAGAAGUGUUUUCUGUUGGAGUUUUGGUAAAAGUUCUUUGGAAUAGGACAUCAUAGAGGGUGAGAAUCCCGUAUUUGACCAUUAUUUCCAACUUUGUGAUACACUUUCAAAGAGUCGGAUUGUUUGGGAAUGCAGUCCAAAAUGGGUGGUAAAUUUCAUCUAAAGCUAAAUACUGGCGAGAGACCGAUAGCGAACAAGUACCGCGAGGGAAAGAUGAAAAGAACUUUGAAAAGAGAGUUAAACAGUACGUGAAAUUGUCAAAAGGGAAGCGUUUGACACCAGUGUUUGUUUUUCCGAAAAUCAAUUACGAAUGUUUUAUUUUUGAGAAGUUAUGACUUCAUCGGCUUGCCUCUCUCUUUAUGAAACUUUCUUAAUGCACUUUUCGGUUAACAAGUCAACAUCAAUUUCUUUUGUUGUAAAAGGGUAUGAGGAAGGUGGCUUUCUUUUCGGAGAAAGUGUUUAUAGCCUUGUACCUCUGCAAUCGGAGAGAUUGAGGUCUGCAGCGUAGAUCCUUCGGGGUUAGAUACAUUUGUGCUAAGUUAUAGCUUUUCAUAGACAACUUGUUGACUAUGUUUAGUCUUGUAGCUUACUCGCUUAUGCUAUUUUACCUACGCUUAGGAUGUUGACGAGACUGUCGAUCUC